rnacentral:rRNA from 1 species
CAAUAGCGUAUAUUAAAGUUGUUGCAGUUAAAAAGCUCGUCGUUGGAUUUCUGUUGAGGUCGAACAGUGCCGCCCUAUGGGUGCGCAACUGGCUCGGCUUCGGCAUCUUCUUGGAGAGCGCAUCUGCACUUAACUGUGUGGAUCGUACUUCAAGUCAGUUACUUUGAGGAAUUGUGAGUGUUUCAAGCAGGCUUACGCCGUUGAAUCCGUUAGCAUGGAAUAAUAGGAUAGGACCUCGGUUCUAUUUUGUUGGUUUUGAGAGCUGGGGCAGCGAUUGAUAGGGACGGAUGGGGGCGUCCGAACUUUACUGUCAGAGGUGAAAUUCUUAGAUCGGUCAAAGGCGAACUACUGCGAACGCAUUCGCCAAGAAUGUUUUCUUUAA